rnacentral:misc_RNA from 1 species
AAGUCGUAACAAGGUCUCCGUAGGUGAACCUGCGGAGGGAUCAUUAUUGGAUUACCCACUACUAUACAAGUGUUUUGGGGGGGGGAUUGCGUGGGGGCUUGCUCUUGCUCUUUCUUUCUCCUGACACUUCAACCAAACGAUCACAACCAGAGAGAAAAGAAAUGAUUUGGUGUUCUGCUGGUUUACGAGGGGAGAACGACAACAAAAAGUGUUUGCCUGAUAAUUGAGUUGACUUGACUUGUACAAACCAAAAAACACAACUUUCAACAACGGAUCUCUUGGCUCUCA